rnacentral:rRNA from 1 species
CUAGCGACUUCAGUAGUUUGAUCCGUGGCUCAGGACGAACGCUGGCGGCGUGCUUAACACAUGCAAGUCGAACGGAGUUCAGCGCUGAAAUGAUGCUAGCUUGCUAGUGGAUUUUCUUGCUUAACUUAGUGGCGGACGGGUGAGUAACGCGUGAGUAACCUGCCUCUCAGUGGGGAAUAACGCCCUGAAAAGAGCGCUAAUACCGCAUAAUAUAUUUUUUGCCACAUGACAGGAAUAUCAAAGAUUUAUCGCUGAGAGAUGGACUCGCGUCCGAUUAGCUAGUUGGCGGGGUAACGGCCCACCAAGGCGACGAUCGGUAGCCGGACUGAGAGGUUGAACGGCCACAUUGGGACUGAGACACGGCCCAG